rfam:Methanobrevibacter sp. AbM4, complete genome.
UGCUAUUCUCAGGGCGGAGUGAAAUUCUCCACUGGUGGUAAUUUAAAAUAGGUUAAAAAGUCCACGAGCACCAUGAAGUGUUGAUUUGGUGAAAGUCCAAAACCAACGGUUAAAGUCCGGAUGAAAGAGAAUUUAG